rnacentral:tRNA from 1 species
GGAGUUAUAGUCUAGAGGCUUAGGACGCAUGCCUGUCACGCAUGAGAUCGCGGGUUCGAAUCCCGUUAACUCCGCCA